rnacentral:rRNA from 1 species
UGGCGGACGGGUGAGUAAUGUCUGGGAAACUGCCUGAUGGAGGGGGAUAACUACUGGAAACGGUAGCUAAUACCGCAUAACGUCGCAAGACCAAAGAGGGGGACCUUGGGCCUCUUGCCAUCGGAUGUGCCCAGAUGGGAUUAGCUAGUAGGUGGGGUAAGGCUCACCUAGGCGACGAUCCCUAGCUGGUCUGAGAGGAUGACCAGCCACACUGGAACUGAGACACGGUCCAG